CGUCCCCUCGGAGCAGUUCCCUGUCCUUCCCCCCCCCCCCCCGAGCAGUUCCCUGUCCUGAAGCGAUGGCAUAAAGGUUUCGCAGGAUGCUGUGUGCCGGAGAAAGAGAUUCUAUAAAGAAAAGCUGAUAGAAAUUUUAGAAGAAAAGGGAGAACCGAUCGAGAGAUCGGUUCUUUUAAGACUGGCAACUGAACGAAAUGACUUUUCGAAUGCCAACGAAACUCCAUGGAUCAGGCCCUGGAAGCGAUGCUGUUGAGAGGGACAGCUGAGCUUUGGUAAUGGACGACAAACGCCACGUACAACUCAUUGACAAAAACAUAUCUGUGAACAUUAAGAAAAGGAAACCCAAAGCGAGGAAGGGGAAAUGCCGCAGACUUAGGAGAGAAACGGAAGAAGGCUCCUCAUCAGAAACAAGGAAGCGAAAGAGAGGAAAGAGAAAAGGGAAGAAGCGCAAAAGAGGAAAGAAAAUAAGGAAAACGAAAGACCAAGGAGGAUCCAGCACCAGAGAAGACGAGGCGCACAGCCUUGUGAAACUGUAGCGGACUUACCUGGAGAGGAACCUGGAGAAAACUUGCAAGUUACCCCUUGCUGAAGGAAGCUACGCGGAAAUCACCUUUCUGAAAUCACCAACUAGUAUUUCAUCACCCUUCAAUCUAGUUUUAAGUUUUUCUUUUCAAUAUUCUUUAUAAGAUAAGACAGAGUCUUUUUAAUCUUUUUAAUCUUUUUACGAUAAGACAGUCUUAAUAUUCUUGUCAAAAUCCUUUGAGGAUCCUGGUGCUGGGUCCGCCUUGGUCUUCCGUUUUCUUUUUUUUUCUUUCCUCCUUUGCGCUUCCUUGUUUCUGAAAAAGAAACAAAAAAUUAAUAUUCACACAUUUUUUGUUUCUUCCUACUUUGUCUACGUGUCUUAAUUGCGGUUUCAUUGUUGCUGGAUUAUGAUCGUUAUCACUUGUUGGAUUGCUUAAGUAUCAUGAACCAUGUGGCAAU